GAUGUCACAAGGGGCAAUGAGCAGUGAUGUCAUGUGAUUGGGGCACGGCGUGAUGAUGUCACCAGGCUGGGCCAAUGGUGUGACGUCACGGGGAAAACAUGGGAGCAGGGGAGGGGACAGGGGAACUCACUGGGCCGCCAUCUUGGCCUCCUCCUCCGCCAUCUUGCCGUCCUCCUCGGCCGCCAUCUUGACGCCCUCCUGGGCCCCCACCCUGACACCUCUGGCCGCCAUCUUGUCCUGGUGGGCCGCCACCUCGUCCUCCUCCGCCGUUAUCCCGACGUCCCCCUGGGCCGCCAUCUUGUCCCCAACCGCCAUCCCAUCCUCAGCCACUGCCACGAUGUCCUCCUGGGCCGCCAUCUUGAAGCCCUCCUUGGUCACCAUCUUGGAGUCCUCCUGGGCCGCCAUCUUGGAGUCCUCCUUGGCCGCCAUCUUGUCUCCCUCAACCGCCAUCUCCCCCACCUCGGCCUCCAUCUUGUCCCCCUCAACCGCCAUCUUGCCCUCAUCCGCCAUCUUGCCCUCCUUGGCCGCCAUCUUGUCUCUCUCAAUCGUCAUCUUGCCCCCAUCCACUAUCUCGCCCUCC
rnacentral:lncRNA from 1 species